CCUAGUCAUUGGAAUGUACUUUUAUGGAUAUCCUUGGCUGUACUUUUCGGGGUGAUUUUUCUCCUGGUGUAUUCUUUCUCAGCAAAACACAUAAAAAAAUGGAGAUUGGAAAGGAACGCAACAGAGGUGACAGAAUUUUAUGACAGAAGCAAGCCAAACUUGUCUGAGAUCGCAAUUACCUCUGAAAAUUGUAAGCAUUUUUCUGCCCUUCUGAAGGAAGAGACAAGUUUGCUAAGAUUGGAGGAACCAAGUGAUCAGAAUGUAACCCCUGACCAUUGUGUGCGAAAUGAGAAGGAGGAAUGUGAGACUACUUAAGAGUUGUGUUAUCUAAAACAUAUGCGUUUACAUACACUUUAAUAAUUGUGCUGGUAUCACAAAUUCAAUGUAAACUCUUAUUCCGGUUAAAGAAACUGUGAUAUGAGGUUAACACAUACAGUACAUACUGUAGAUUUCUGUGCCUGUUAACCAAUUCAUCAAGGUGCCAUGUAAACCCUUAACCAGGUUACACUUGAGGAUUUCAGAGUCUGCACGUGUCAUUGCGUCGUCCUCGAAUCCAGCAAUUCCAUUAUUCCUUCUGGUUGGAAUAAUCUGUCUCAGUCUUUCAGAAAUUGCUAAAUUUUUGUCGAUGCUAAGCUCAGUAGCACAUGUGAGCUGCAUUUGGUGCAACGUGUUAAAGGUAACAAGCAUUAUGUAGUCCUCAACUACUACUUAAAGUGAAUCGUAACCAUUUGUUGUAUUUUUCUUUUUUUUUACUAUUGUACCGUCUCGUCUUUUGUUGCUUUAGGCACGUGGUCUCAGUGGUUGGCACUGCUGCCUCACAGCUCAGGUCACAUUUGUAAACCACAAAAAUCAGUCCAGCAGAGAUGGCAGUUGCUUCCCUAGCCCUUAUGAACACACAAAAAGACCAAUACAUCAUUAUAGUUCACUCAAAACUAAUUCAGUUCCUUCUUCCCCACUGACUUCAGUGAUUUUCACUGUGUUCUGCAAAGGUCCUGAACAUUUCCAUGAUUUUGCCAUUACUGCCAUUUUGCAUUACUACUCAGCACCUUUUAGAUACAAAAACUGAAGCUACAAUUCGUCACUAGGGGAAUUUACAAAUGCAUGUUUCUGAGCACAGUUUAUUCAGUUGUGGAAGAGUAUUCUGAUAGUAUGGAACACCAGAUUGAAAACAACCCCCUGGCCAAGAUAAGAGUCCUUCGCAGAGAGCAAUACUUAUACAGACUCUUAAAUUAGAAUUGCUUACACGGCAAUCCCUUAUUCAUUUGUUCACUUUCUAGUUGCAGUUAUAGCAUUAAUACAGUGUUUACAAAACAUUUUUUCUAAGCAAAAACAUCUCAAGACACACCACGAUUUUCAACUAACCACAGAAACAUUAUAUCAUAUACAUGUUUAACUGUCCGAAGGGGCUAGACUACCGGAGAAACCAGUAAAAAGGGAGCUCCAACAUGAGCAUUCAAAGACAUGGUACUUAGUGAGCACUUUGUGUGCAUCUCCCAGUUGCUUAUUCCCUUUGCCUACCGCUCUCUACCUCAGAGGCAACUUGUAUGCCCACUACACAAUGGCCCUGUGAAACUCGUCGGAGAUCACACACCCAACCAGAUGGAUUUUAGCAACCACGAGAUGUGUCCAAAGUGGCUUUAAGUGCUGUGUCUGCAACAGGGAUCACAGAGCUGCUUUUAUGUCAGCUUCUCCAGGUAGUUGUGUCCUCCUCCGACAGGUCUCGACCACCUGUGGAGCUUGUCUUUCUCAGGUUCGGACUCGUGUGUACUACGUUAUUAUUUCAAUGUCACGGCUCACCACUAUGCUGCAACACACUAGUUGAAAAACACUGCUAUAAUAUAUUCAUAAUUGGCUAUCAAUAAUUUCUCAUGUGUUCUUAUAUAAAGAUUAGACUGUGACAUCUAAAAGCUCAUCCCUCUGUUGUUCUUUUUUUCAAUGUUCACUACUGAAUUUGGGAAAAAAUGUUGUCCAAAUGAAAAUUCUGAAGCACAGGAACAACAUUAGGAGAAGUUCUGUUAAACAUCCAAUGUCCAUCCUUUUAAUUGGGCCUCUCACUUUGGUACUGCCUCUAAGUUAUCAGUCUGUAGAUGAGAACAUCUUCCAUCGAGAGAACGGUCUGGAAUAUGAUAAUGUUUCUCAGAGGUUCAAGCGAACCUCAGUGAGACCUACUGGAAUAAAUUAAAUUAGCAACAUGCUCUUUAAAUAAUUCAGGGACCAUCUUUCUUCAUUUUGUAAUAUAUUUAUAUAUAUUUAUAUUUUUUUAUUUAUCAUGACAAUUAACAUACAGUAUGUAUUUAUUUAUAUAUUACCUUCAAUGUAUUUAGUAUACUGUAUUAAUUAUUCACUGUAUGUCCAUCUUUAUGUUGUUUCUGUAUUUAUGUUGCUUCUAAUUUUAUUCUACAUUUUUUUUAAGUUGUCUUUUUGUUGGUGAUUUGUUUGACAUUCUGUGAAAUGUUUGCACUUUUACAUAUUAAAUCAAAAAAGCUUUUCUUCAGGUGUGUGAUUAAAGAUGGUUAAUGUAUGUUUUU